UACGUAGGGGGCUAGCGUUGUCCGGAAUCAUUGGGCGUAAAGCGCGUGUAGGCGGUCCGGUAAGUCCGCUGUGAAAGUCGGGGGCUCAACCCUCGAAUGCCGGUGGAUACUGUCGGGCUAGAGUGCGGCAGAGGCGAGUGGAAUUCCUGGUGUAGCGGUGAAAUGCGCAGAUAUCAGGAGGAACACCAAUUGCGAAGGCAGCUUACUACACAGUGACUGACACUGAGGCACGAAAGCGUGGGGAGCAAGCAGG
rnacentral:rRNA from 1 species